AAAGUCGUAACAAGGUAACCGUAGGUGAACCUGCGGUUGGAUCAUUAACAACGAAAGGUUAGAGGUAGAGAGAAUGCCCCCGUGCAGAAAAUGCACCAAGGGGGCGGGAGAGUUGGGAAACUGCCCAAGCGCAUCCCUGGUCAGUUGGCGGGGAUUGUUGAUCCGUCAACUGUUGGUUCUCCCACCUGUUGUGGUCUUUUUUUUUUUUUUUUUUUCGUCGCGUGAAAACCGAAGAAACAACUUUUGGCAACGGAUCUCUUGGCUCUC
rnacentral:misc_RNA from 1 species